rnacentral:rRNA from 1 species
UGACGUCAAGUCAUCAUGGCCCUUACGGCCUGGGCUACACACGUGCUACAAUGGUCGGUACAAAGGGUUGCCAAGCCGCGAGGUGGAGCUAAUCCCAUAAAAACCGAUCGUAGUCCGGAUCGCAGUCUGCAACUCGACUGCGUGAAGUCGGAAUCGCUAGUAAUCGUGAAUCAGAAUGUCACGGUGAAUACGUUCCCGGGCCUU